AGAGUUUGAUCCUGGCUCAGGAUGAACGCUGGCGGCGUGCCUAACACAUGCAAGUCGAGCGAAGCACUCUGCUUUGAUUUCUUCGGAUUGAAAGGCUUUGUGACUGAGCGGCGGACGGGUGAGUAACGCGUGGGUAACCUGCCCCAUACAGGGGGAUAACAGUUAGAAAUGACUGCUAAUACCGCAUAAGACCACAGCACCGCAUGGUGCAGGGGUAAAAACUCCGGUGGUAUGGGAUGGACCCGCGUCUGAUUAGCUAGUUGGCAGGGUAACGGCCUACCAAGGCGACGAUCAGUAGCCGACCUGAGAGGGUGACCGGCCACAUUGGGACUGAGACACGGCCCAAACUCCUACGGGAGGCAGCAGUGGGGAAUAUUGCACAAUGGGGGAAACCCUGAUGCAGCGACGCCGCGUGGAGGAAGAAGGUCUUCGGAUUGUAAACUCCUGUUGUUGGGGAAAAGAAGGAUGGUACCCAACAAGGAAGUGACGGCUAACUACGUGCCAGCAGCCGCGGUAAAACGUAGGUCACGAGCGUUGUCCGGAAUUACUGGGUGUAAAGGGAGCGCAGGCGGGUAUGCAAGUUGGGAGUGAAAUACAUGGGCUCAACCCAUGAACUGCUCUCAAAACUGUGUAUCUUGAGUAGUGCAGAGGUAGGCGGAAUUCCCGGUGUAGCGGUGGAAUGCGUAGAUAUCGGGAGGAACACCAGUGGCGAAGGCGGCCUACUGGGCACCAACUGACGCUGAGGCUCGAAAGUGUGGGUAGCAAACAGGAUUAGAUACCCUGGUAGUCCACACCGUAAACGAUGAUUACUAGGUGUUGGAGGAUAGACCCCUUCAGUGCCGCAGUUAACACAAUAAGUAAUCCACCUGGGGAGUACGACCGCAAGGUUGAAACUCAAAGGAAUUGACGGGGGCCCGCACAAGCAGUGGAGUAUGUGGUUUAAUUCGAAGCAACGCGAAGAACCUUACCAGGUCUUGACAUCCAACUAACGAAGUAGAGAUACAUUAGGUGCCCUUCGGGGAAAGUUGAGACAGGUGGUGCAUGGUUGUCGUCAGCUCGUGUCGUGAGAUGUUGGGUUAAGUCCCGCAACGAGCGCAACCC
rnacentral:rRNA from 1 species